UCCUAGUUAGCUCAGUUGGUAGAGUGCUCCACUCGAAAUGGAAAAAUCCCUGGUUCGAUACCAGGACCAGGCG
rnacentral:tRNA from 1 species